AUUGAACGCUGGCGGCAGGCCUAACACAUGCAAGUCGAGCGGCAGCGGGAAAGUAGCUUGCUACUUUUGCCGGCGAGCGGCGGACGGGUGAGUAAUGCCUGGGGAUCUGCCCAGUCGAGGGGGAUAACUACUGGAAACGGUAGCUAAUACCGCAUACGCCCUACGGGGGAAAGCAGGGGACCUUCGGGCCUUGCGCGAUUGGAUGAACCCAGGUGGGAUUAGCUAGUUGGUGAGGUAAUGGCUCAACAAGGCGACGAUCCCUAGCUGGGCUGAGAGGAUGAUCAGCCACACUGGAAAUGAGACACGGUCCAGACUCCUACGGGAGGCAGCAGUGGGGAAUAUUGCACAAUGGGGGAAACCCUGAUGCAGCCAUGCCGCGUGUGUGAAGAAGGCCUUCGGGUUGUAAAGCACUUUCAGCGAGGAGGAAAGGUUGGUAGCUAAUAACUGCCAGCUGUGACGUUACUCGCAGAAGAAGCACCGGCUAACUCCGUGCCAGCCGCCACCGUAACAC
rnacentral:rRNA from 1 species